CCUACGGGGGGCAGCAGUAGGGAAUAUUGCUCAAUGGGGGAAACCCUGAUGCAGCAACGCCGCGUGGAGGAUGAAGGUUUUCGGAUUGUAAACUCCUUUUGUUAGAGAAGAUAAUGACGGUAUCUAACGAAUAAGCACCGGCUAACUCCGUCCCAGCAGCCGCGGUAAUACGGAGGGUGCAGGCGUUACCAGGAAUCGCUGGGCGUAAGGAGCGCGUAGGCGGGAUAGCAAUUCAGAUGUGAAAUCCUAUGGCUUAACCAUAGAACUGCAUUUGAAACUGUUAUUCUAGAGUAUGGGAGAGGUAGGUGGAAUUCUUGGUGUAGGGGUAAAAUCCGUAGAGAUCAAGAGGAAUACUCAUUGCGAAGGCGAGCUGCUAGAACAUAACUGACGCUGAUGCGCGAAAGCGUGGGGAGCAAACAGGAUUAGAUACCCGUGUAGUC
rnacentral:rRNA from 1 species